ensembl:lncRNA SORL1-AS1 SORL1 antisense RNA 1
ACUGCCAACUGAUGAUACACUAAAGAAAGCCCGUUUUUUAUCCAGAUGUAAAAUGAAGCUGCACCCCUCCUAUACCUGCCGGAAACUACAUCUCUCUGCACACACCCUGGGGUAAUACGCACUGCACCCGGCGAGUUACCUGGAAUACGUUUACUAAAUCGACAGGAAGAAGGAAAGAUCAAUGCGAUUCAAGUGCUGACGGUUGUACUCGUGAAGGAAAAAAACAAAUGCAAGCCGGGAAGUCCCCAGUGGUGCCUGCACCUAGGAGGCGACUGCAACGGAUGGAUGCGGGGGUAGAUAAUCAGCAACCCCCCAAGACUGUGCCUGCUGCACAACUACAGAACGCAGUGGAAGACACGCUGAAUUCUGAGUCAGAAGGUUGACUUUCUAGCUGUGGGGACUUGGCCAAACCUCCUCAGAGCUUCAGUUUUCUCAUCUGUAAAAUAGAGAUCUUAAUCCCUACCAAUCUCACAGGACUGCUGAGAGUAUCAGAUGAGAUUCUCAAAGCAAUCCUGUAUGGUGAGAAUUAUUUUUAUUUUACCGACAAAGCUGCUGAAGAUCAGAGACAUUGAGUUACUCAUAGAAGAUAUACAGACAGAGCCAAGAUUCAAAUCCCUUGGGUGUCUGGCUCCAAAGUGGAAAUUUUCUCCACGGUGCCAAAGGACUCAUAAACAGAAUGUACAAAGGACUCUUACAAAUCAGUAAUAAAAGGACAAUCAAUGUUUUUAAACAAGCAGAAGACUUCGAUAAACACCACAUAAAAGAGAAUGCAUGCAUGGCCAAUGAGAACAUAAAAAAGAUGCUCAGCGUUGUUGGUCGUCAGGGAAGUGCAGAUUGAAAAUGCAAUGGGAUACCACUACACACCCGCCAGAAUGGUUAAAAUUUAAAAAUUUUAACAGUACCAAAUGUUAGAGAGGCUGUGAAGCAGCAGGAUGUUUUAUGCAUGGCCAGCAAAAGUAUAAAAUGGUAGAGCCAUUUGGAAAACUGGCAUUUUCUCAUAAAUAUUCACCUAUCAUGUGAUCUAAAAAUUCCAAAAGAAAUGAAACUAUAUGUCUACAAAAAAAGUUGGAUAAGAAUAUUCAUUGUAGCUUUAUUUCUUUUGUUGUUGUUGUUGAAACAGAGUCUCGCUCUGCCGCCCAGGCUGGAGUGCAGUGGAGCCGUCUCAGCUCACUGCAACCUCUGCCUCCCGGGUUCAAGCAAUUCUUGUGCCUCAGCCUCCCAGGUAGCUGGGACUACAGGCACGUGCCACCACACCUGGCUAAUUUUUGUAUUUUUAGUAGAGAUGGGGUUUCGCCAUAUUGGCCAGGCUGCUCUCGAACUCCUGACCUUGUGAUCCGCCUGCCUCGGCCUCCCAAAGUGCUGGGAUUACAGGCAUGAGCCACCGCACCUGGCCAUGGCUUUAUUUCUAAAAGCCAAACUUUGGAAACAAUGCCAAUGUCUAUCAAUAGACUAAAGAGAUAAAUUGAGAUUUUUCAUACUGUGAGAUAUUGCCCCACAAUAAAAAGGAGCAAACUAUUAAUGCAUACAACAACGUAGAUGAAUCUCAACAAUAUUAUGUUAAAUGAGAAGCACCAGACACAAAAGAGUACACACAAUGAACGACUCCACUUAUGUGAAGUCUAGCAACAGGAAAAACUCAUCUAUGGAAAUAGAAAUCAGAAUAGUCAUUGCCUGUGAGAAUGUAGAGGGAGGGUGGGCCACAGGAAAGGAGCAUGGGAAAAUUUUUUGGGUGAUGGCAAUUUUCACAUUUUGAUUAAACAAUUAAGUUUAAUCAAAUUAUACACUUAAGGUCUGUGCAUUUUACCAUAUGUAAUUAUGCUUUGAAUAAAAAUAAAUUAAAAUAAAGGGAUGAAAUGAGUUGCUUCUUCCAGUAUUAUGCUUUGGCACUGGAAGUAUUUAAGCUAGACUAAUGCUUAUCAGAGAUAUUGUGGACGGUUCAAAUUGGGAGUUCUGAUUAAGUAAUAAAAAACAAGCCCUCAGA